CAGUACUGUUGCAUCUUCCUGGAGAUAGAGCCUGAGAACCAGGAGGUUUUCUAUAGUGAAGAGCUCCGUACAGGAAGAUCCCCAAACAAAUCCUGCUCUUGGAAAAGGCCAAGUUGGUUUCAUCUGUACACCUCUGAGCCCAGCUGGCCCUCCUGGCCCCCAUCGGGUGCCUCUGCUUUCCUGCAGUGCUUCAGCUAACCCUGGUUCCUCUGCUGUGCAGCUCAUCAGCUGGAUCGUGGUGCGCUUCUGGGGCUCGUAAAUUGAGCUGCUGCUCUCAACAUUUGGCAAGCAUGAGCCCAGACUGUCUGUUGUUGCACUGGGAGAGAAUCUGCGUGGGUUUCCCUACAGUCACCCUCAUGCCCUGGGUGAAGAUUCCUGUCAGAACACAAGAAUUUGUCCAAAAAAAAAAAAAAAAAAAAAAAAAAGUAUUACAGAAACUGCUUCUCCUCUGGUCACCAUAAAGGACCCUUCCCAAUCUCAGGCCUGUUUGCUGUGGUUGGACUUCACUGUCCCCAGGGAGCAAAACCUUGUAUCCCAGAAGAGGCUGAUUGACACCAGCUGACAACCUGGCCAUGCUGCUUCCAAAAAAAAUAAAAAAUAAAAAACCUAACAAAGGCACUGCUCUAUUUUAAGCUGCAAAUAAUUCACUUUUAUAUUGGUGAGAAAUUCCUCAUCACUCAUUUAGUUACGUGGGUCUAAAAGAAACCAUACUGUUUUGGCAUGCCUGUGUGCUGGGAGUGGGAAAGAAGGGGGGUGUCAGAACCCUUCCAGAAGUUUUUGUCCUUUCUUACCAUGGUGGUUUUGCCCUGCCAAAUCUGCACAGACCUAUAUAUAUCCAAAAGCUAAGGCGGGAUGGAGAUUCCUUAAUGCCUGCAAAAGAAGCAAAUAUAAAGGCAGUAUUUUUUUGUUCCAGUGGCAUUUAUAUGUUGUCAUUAACUCUGCUUUAACUGUUGUAGUUUAAAGCUUUCAGAAAACAUAGCUUCAGCAGCACCAACUACCACAUGUUUUUGCUGACAAGAGAUGCAGGGUUUGCCUGGACAGCCCAUGUAGUUUCUCUGCCUUUUCCAUAGUAUUCAAAAACCUGGAGAGGAAGAGAUCCCAUUGAGCAAACAAUCAUUAUUGCUGUUCGUUUGCCAUUUUUGGCAACGUAGGCCCUAGUGUAGCAUCAGAGAAUCCUUAGAGUUGGAAGGGACCUCUGAAGGCCACCUAGUCCAACACCCCUGCAAAAGGCUGCACCCUUGCUAGAUUAAGAGCUGUAUAGCUCAAGUCUCUUAUUCCAGUCACUGGGACUUUG